rnacentral:rRNA from 1 species
GAUGAACGCUGGCGGCGUGCUUAACACAUGCAAGUCGAACGGUGAAGCCCCAGCUUGCUGCCGUGGCUCAGUGGCGAACGGGUGAGUCAGCCGUGGGCAACCUGCCCCUGACUCUCGGAUAACAUCCCGAAACGGCUGCUAAUACCGGAUAUGCUCCAUGCACGCAUAUUCUGUGAUGGGGCAGAUUUUUCGGUUGGGGAUGGGCUCGCGGCCUAUCAGCUUGUUGGUGAGGUAAUGGCACACCAAGGCGUAGACGGGUAGCCGACCUGAGAGGGUGACCGGACAGGUUGGGACUGAGACAAGGCCCAGACUACUACGGGAGGGAGCAGUGGGGAAUAUUACACAAUAGGAGAGAGCCUGCUGCAGCAACGCCGCGUGAGGGAAGACGGCCUGCGUGUCGUAAACCUAUUUUAGCUGCGAAGAAGAGAGAGUGACGGUACCUGAAGAAAAAGCGCCGGCUAACUACGUG